GUACAAGCGGCAAAGGCAGUCAAAAGACGCGCGAGUCAGCGAUGGGCAGGCUAGAUCACCGCGCAGAGGAUAAGCGCUCUUGUGGAGGUCGCGUCGUCGAUGCUCUCUGCAGCGUCUUCAGCCUGCGCAUCGCUCUAAGCAUCAUCUACUUCAUUCUUGUCGUACUGCUCUGUAUAAUGCAGGAUAUCUCGCUUUUUUCCACCCCAACCAUUCGCAUCAUGAACAUAGAGGCGAGUCACAUCGUCGGAGCCAAGACGUUCAUCGCUGACACAUGGUUCAAAGUGGACCAGUCUAUCUACGGCGCCAACGUCACGGGGCGCAUCGACGUAAAGCUGUGGGUAACGAAGAUGAACAUGAAUGUGGAGAUUCCAUACGGGUACGUGCCGCAGAACAUCUCGCAAGUCUAUCGCGUGCAGGAUGUGCCUUGCGCCGAGUUUCGAAACUUCUUCAGGCGCAUGCAAAUUUUCAGCCUGCUCUCCAUCUUCACUGGCUUCAUUGUGUGGGUCUUUACAGUCUCCAACUUCUUUACCCGCAUGUUCCUGCCUCUGCUAUGGCUCUUCCUGUGGGUGACGAUCGCUUUCACAGCGACGACGGUGGCCAUGAUGCUCCGCGUCCUCUGUGAUGGCGCUUGCUACGGUGAGGUUGACGAGAUUCCGCCAUUCACAGCUCUGGCCACGCCGAUGGGCGGCUUCGCGCUUGCUUUCAUCAGCCUCCAGACGUACCUGGUCACCUCCAUCAUGACUGUCUUCCUUUAAAGCAACGAAAAAAAGAGGAGCAGAGGAGAGGGCAGGAUGUGAAGGGGGAGGAGGGCGCCGCCGGGACCUCCUCACUGUCUUCCUCUCCCCUUUCUUCGUCCCCUUUCUUUUCGCGAGAGGCCAUGAAUGAAGUGGAAGAGACGGCAAUGCAUCGGGGGAGAAAGGCAGCUGCAGCACAAUAGACAUGCAAAAACGUGGGGGUGGGAAAGGAAGCCUCCUGCCCCCCCUGCCUUACGAGAUGGGCCUCCGCGUGCACUUUUAACGUCGCGAAGCAAACGACACAACGCUGUUAGUUUCUCUCUCCUCAUGAUUAGACUCAUCGUUUCUUGUGUCUAACGUUAUGCAAUCAUUUUUUUUUUGCCUUACGUUUUUCGUUGUUUGUGUGGGUGCGGGUGCACGACUCUACGUAUGUUCAAGCAUGGGUGUGUGCGGGUUGCGCGUACGUGCUUGUCGGAGUGGUUCUGGGCAGCUGCCUCUCUUUUUGUGCCUUCGAAUGGACGUGUCUUUUUCUCUAUCUACCCUCUUCACGCGCCUUCUUCUCCUUCUGUUUGCUCGCUGCCUUCUUCCGCCGGUAGCACGGUGGAGCCCUUCCGGAGGGCAGCGUCAGAGGCGAGAAGCGCGGUAAAGGCGGGGCGGCAUGAACGAAGCGAAGGAGCUUAACACGGCUGGACAAGGAACCAAGAUGGUGCUCUGCGACGCAGCACCAGCUCCCCCCCCUUGUGCAGGCACGCGGUCACCUUUUUCCACGUAGACGCACACAAACCCACCACGGCGAACAGCUUUUCAAGCUACCACGAUAUCAUGUGACUGUAUACUCUUCUUCCUUUCUUGGUUGUUCGGCCGUACUCUCCUUCCCUCCUUAUUUUUCUUUUUUCUGCUUACCGGCCUCUAUCUCUUGCUCACCGCCUCUCAUCCCUUUCCCAUAUUUAUUCCUGUGCUCACUCCUGGAUAUCCUGCUCUGUUUGUUUACAUUGUUGUUGCUUGCUUACGCAGGAGCCUGUCUUGGGGGUGGGUUUCGCUCUCCCCCCUCUCUUACCUCUUCCACGAUACGUGAUGCCUUCAAACGGUAAGCACCCGGUGCGCAGCUCUCCUCCUCCCUCCCCACCCCACCACCCUUUCACAUGUGAUCGCCUGUAUAAGGUGAUCCGCACAGAUGUCGCCCCCCCUUCUUCCUAGUGCGUGCGCAUGUUUUUUUUUUGUUGUUGCCUUGCCGGUCUAUGCCCUCUGCUCACGCGCUCUUUUUUUUUUCUUCGCCCACCCUUUUCUCUCCUGCGCUCAUGUUUACUCUUUUUUGUUGUUGCUCCUUUCGCGCGCUCCUUCCUCACCUGCUUCAUCUCGUAAUAUGGUCCCAUCUAUACCUCCGGCACUGUCAGAGGAAGUGAAGCGCAGACGUGCUCCUGGUUGCCGGAUCAAAACGGUAGCGAGGAUGAAGGCAACUUUGUUUUGCGCGUAGGUGUCUCUGUUCUCUGUCUCCUUUUGAUCACAACUGCUCCUUUUUCAAGCCCACAUGUGCGUGAACAUCCUGCCAUCAACGCCCUCCCCACCCACCCCCUCAUACGUUGCUGGCUUCGUUGUUGUUUUGCGUGGAUGCCGACUACUCACAAGACACCUUGUUCAUCUGCUGUGGCACUUCUCGAGCAUACUCCCCUCUUCGAAGCUGCGUUGCCCUUUGAACCCCUUCCUCCUCCCUCCUUUUCCUGUGUGUUUUUACGUCUACUAUAGUAUGUGUUUAGCUGUGUGUGCGUGUGUCUCCCUACGUAUGACUGUCUUUUCCUUCUUGAUUAUCGCCUUGCGACUAUGUGUAUCUAUCGCUGUUGAUAGGCUUCCCCUCAUCUCGAUAUCUUUUCAUUUGGCUUCCCUCUCCCCAACACAGGGCAUCGUGGCUCUGUGGAAGGACGGUGUGUUUGAUCGCUUUUUUGUUUUGUGUUUGUUUGCUUCUGAGGACGGGCGUCGGUCGUCGCCGUGGCUGUGGAGGCCGCGUGUGAUUUUCCUCUGACUGCGGCCAUCGGGCGUUUAUUCUUUUUUUUUGCGGUUGCUGUUGUUGUUCGUGGUGCUUACCCCCUUUUUUGUGGGUCUCUGGCUCUCGGUCGUCUUCCCACACGAGCACCGAUGAAUUUAGUGGGUCGAUGAUUGUAACAUGCAAUGCCUUUUAGUCGGUAUGCUUUGCAUGUACAUGUGCUAGCG
rnacentral:misc_RNA from 1 species